UGUUAUUUCUAUUGACUCGAGGGUUCCACUUUUUAUGUUUUAUUGAGUUGAGGUUUAAUUUGAAGGAAUCAGACACCGAGGGACCGAAUGCUGUUUCUGGGAACAAGAACAGAUUCAUGCCCCUAGGACAUUCUUUACAACAAUCCAGUCUGAGGUUCAUUGGCCUGAGAUGUAGUGGACAGAAACUAUGACCUUGAUACAUGGCCUGAAACCCUAAAACACAAUUUUUGGAAGAUGGUGCAGGAUACAAUUGCAUUUUGGAGCAAUUGUCCUUAAACUGAGGAAAUCUACAGAUGAUCCCACAACAUCCCCAUGGAACUUGUUCUUCUGGUGAUGGUGUACUGUAGAUUCUGUUGAUACAAACUGUGUGUAACAGUACUCUUCUUGCGUUGUGUACAAUAAAUCAUCGACACGAACUCCAAUUUGUAGCACCAGUCAUGGAGAUUUAUUCUGAUAGGGAACAGCAUAAAAUUGCACGGCUCACCAUUCAACUCUGCACUCACGCACUGUACAAAAUAUACAACCCCCCCACCAGACACAGUAAGUUGCUAGCUAGUAUUAGCUGGAAUUCUCUACAACAAAAUGCACAACAAAUAUUCACCAAAAAACGCUACAUCGUAUGUGUGGUGUUCUAAUAACAUUUACAAACAAAUGUAUUAAAUCAUCACUUGGGAGUAUAAAAAUCACUUUUGACGUACAGUGCUUUGCAACCAACAACUUACCGCUGGUUUGGUGCUUGUUCACUGGGAUGAUUCUUACUGAAACAUCCUCCCUCGUAAGCAAGACCCGCAAACCAGCCAAUAAAUUGCCAUGUUGAGUAGGUGAAGGCAAGACAAAACCAAAACCAAAAACCCAUUGGCUUAACAAUAAAGUAGCAAGGGGAAAUCACCAAUAUAACCCUGUUACAUGUGCAAAGGACCUUUGAAUAACAUGUCCUUGACACUGGUUUGGGAAAAAUGGAUUUGUUGUGUGACCAUGGAUUUGUAUAAUCCCAUUCCCCACAGAGGCAAUGGUGCAAAGUGGGGGCCAUGUCCUGUGUGUGACCCUGAUGCAUCACAAUGGGACUCCAAUUAAUAAUACACACUUCAUGACUUUUCUUACAGUCCAUGAUUGUAUAGUUCCAUUGCUUUUGACGCACAUUUUGUACACAUUGUAUUAUAGUGUUUAGCCGAUUAUUCACGUAAUACAGAUUUUGCAUUGGUCAUGGGUUGUGCUUGUUUCACCAGCCAUCAGUGCUCAGUCUCUCUGAUGUAUGUUUUUUUCUGUGUAAAUAUAGUGGCAAAUCCAUUGUCCCCUCUUGGGAUUAAUAGAGGAGCUGCAGUAAAAUGUUAUGUUCAAGUGUUCCAAUGACCUUAUAUUGUAAACAUGUAUUAAAGCAAAAUGUGAACUGCAA